rnacentral:lncRNA from 1 species
UUGAUAUUAGGUAGCUCUAUCACCAAGUCCUUGGAAACUAAUUUGUUUAAUUGAUUUAGACUAGAAUGACCAAGUCUUUUGUGCCAAAGGAGGGGAUCAUUAAUUAAUACGCUCAGACAAGUAAGUUAUUUUCAGAAAGAGUCGAUAAAUCUACAAUGUAAAUAUUGUUAACUCUUCCCUGCAAAACAAUCUUUUCAGUAGUAAGGCUAAUGAAAAAAGAUUUUAAGAAAGAGAAAGCCACAAGAUUACCUCUGUCACACAGUUGUGACACAC